AGAAUACAAUUAAGGCAUAGACUCCAAAUGCAUGAAAGACCUCAAAGAGACAGGAAUCCAUCAAAAUCCUUGAGGAGACACAGGCAGAAA